rnacentral:tRNA from 1 species
UCCCUGGUGGCUCAGAUGGUAAAGCAUCUGCCCGCAAUGCAGGAGACCUGGGUUCGAUCCCUGGGUCGGGAA